UUGACUAAACACAUCUAGAGUAUCUCUGUGACGCAAUCAAUGUGAUGAUUGCAUGCAUGUGAAGAUUGUCACACGCUCCCCACCAAAUACAUGGAUGUUGCUUGGCUGGCAGGUAGAGACAAAAAUAUUUUGAGAAAAUUCAAAGAGAAGAUUCAAAAAGCUUGAAACACACAUUUAAAGCAGAGACUAAGGACUCAGAACAUGUAGAUAUCAUAUGUGCUAGUUUUUCUAAGAGGUUUCCAAUUUAUUCUCGCUCCUCUGUUUUCUCCUGUUUGGAUUAAGGGUUCCUUACCCUCACAAUCACACCAGUUUUCUGGUUCUUGGGGGAAAUGAGCUACUUUUUGAUGCCAUUGUUGCUUGUGUGGUCCUGGGGUCACAGAGAGCAGACUACCGAGGCUGAGGGUGGGGAGCGCAGAACAAAUCCGAGAUCUGAGUCACUUUACAUAAAGCAGCCAAUUUGUUUAAUGCAAACACACACUUCUCUCAUUGGCUUUUGGGAAUAGUUUAUGGUUCAGUGGUGGAUCCAUUCCAGUCAAAGCAAGCCAAGAUAAUUGUGUGUGGGGGUGGAGAGGAGGAAAUAACAAUAGAGCUUUAGAUUAAGCAAAUGUUCAAGAGGAAUUGGAAAGAAGAACUUGGAGGAUUUUUGAUGCUCAGCAAGUACCCAAGGGAAGAGGUUGCCUAUAUUUUCCUUACAGGUAUUGUACAGGUCACAGCAGGGUUAUUUAUAUAACUUGUGGCUUUUAUUAAUGCAUAUCGAAAUAAUUCCUUCCCAGUCUGGAAGAACUGUGGUGACAGGAAUGAAUCCAGUUACAUGAGGGAAUUUUGUUCUACCUCUAAAAAGGACAUGAUGAUAGUACAUGACUGUUUACUCCAUAGUAUCCUCAAAUAAAAAUGGAAGAUGUGGGAUGAAAGGAAAGUCUUUUCCUCCGGGGAAUCCCAACUUGCCUGAAAUCUCUGAGGGCUGUUUCUAGUACAUAAUAAAGACCUGCCGGUUGAUUGAGAGCUAGAAGGAAAGGGGAUGAGCAGAAUGAAAUACAUCAGAAGAAUGAAUUACUUUUUCAGAGGCAUUUAAGGAGCCCAUGUGUGAGGGGGUGGGGGUGAAAAAUAAACCUAGGGUUCACGGUUGGACAGUGUGAAAGAAAGAAAGAAAGAAAGAAAGAAAGAAAGAAAGAAAGAAAGAAAGAAAGAAAGAAAGAAAAAGAAAGAAAGAAAACCAGGCAAAUGGAAAUGCUGACAACAUACUGUUUGAAACCUGCUCUAGUCAAAUGUGCCGCUCUCUAUCAGUUUCCUUGUUGUUCAAAGGGAAAUAGUUGUGCUGAUAAAGGCAACGGGAAGUUAAUAUUUGCCCAAGUCAUUAAAUUCAGACCAUAGCUAUGAAUGUCUUCUUUCUCUUUCCCCCUCCCCAUCCCUUCCAUUCUGUUCACUUACAUUUCCCCAUAUGGUGACUUUGGAAAAUUCCUCUCAGCAUAGAAAAGGACAGGAAAUUCUCUUUGGGAGAGAGGGUUGCCUAUUUCUCUCUCCCUUUCUAGUUCUGCUGAUCACAUCUGGAAAGGAUCUGGCUUGGGAAGGGGGGAAAGUGUUCAAGCGCUUGGAGUGUGUAAUUGACAUGGCAUGAGCAAAGAGAGCCUUUGGAGGGGACAAGAGAAGCACUUUUCUCUGGGCACUUGCAUCACUAUCAACCAAGCGAAGGAUCUGAGCCAAACUGAGGGGUCCUUGCACAGACUGGAAAGACGAGGUCAAAGCAAGAUGAGGAGCUCUGGAUGGAGGAGAACUUUAUUGGAAAUGUACCCAAAGUUCAGGUCCCUCUUUCCUGUGCUGUGGCUGCUGGUACUUAGCGCCAACAGAGUUCAAGUUCAGAAGAAUGAAGACAGCAAUGAAUUUCCAGAAAAUUCAUCUGAACUACUUGAUCCGGAACGUAAUUCCCUGGCUCCAGACUGCCCUAAAAAAUGCUCCUGCAACUCAGAAGGAAUUGUGGAUUGUGGCGGUUUUUCUCUGAAAGAGUUUCCCAUAGAUGUACCAGAAUUGACAAGCCACCUUUCCUUGCAGAACAACCAGAUAGAAGAAAUCUUUCCAGAAGAGCUUGCACGUCUUCACAGGCUAGAGACACUCAACUUGCAGAACAACAGGCUCACUUCCAAAGGCCUUCCAGAGGAAGUGUUUGAACAACUGGAGAACCUGAAUUAUCUGUACCUUGCAAAUAAUCAGCUCACGGCGGCUCCAAAAUUCCUCCCAAGAACCUUAAUCAGUGCAGAUUUUGCAGCCAAUAAUCUCACUAAGAUUUAUGAGCUCACAUUUGGACAGAAGCCAAACCUGAGGUCAGUGUACCUUCACAAUAAUAAACUUGAAGAUGCUGGCUUGCCUGAGAGCAUGUUCAAUGGUUCUGACAAUGUGGAGGUUUUGAUCAUGUCCAGCAAUUUCUUAAAAUAUGUUCCAAAGAAUCUGCCACUAGCACUAUAUAAACUGCAUCUAAAGAAUAACAAAUUGGAAAAGAUUCCCAAAGGAGCCUUCAGUGAACUCUCAGGACUUCGCGAGCUGUAUUUGCAGAACAACAAAUUGACAAAUGAGGGCAUGGACAAUGAAACCUUCUGGAAACUGUCAAGCCUUGAGUACCUGGAUUUGUCCAGCAAUAAUCUUUCUCAAAUUCCAAGUGGAUUACCUCGAAACAUUGUCCUUCUGCACCUAGAGAAGAAUGUCAUUAAAUCAAUUGGUAGAGAUGUGCUUACCCAGAUCAAGAACCUGGAAUACCUCCUGCUUCACAAUAACAAACUGAAGGCCCGUGGAAUCCAUUCACUGGCUUUCCAUGGCCUGAAGAAGUUGCACACUGUCCACUUGUACAACAACCAGCUGGAAAGGAUCCCCAGUGGACUGCCCAGACGGGUGAAAACUCUUAUGAUUCUCCACAACCAGAUCUCAGAAAUUAGCAGAAAUGAUUUUGCAACCACAUAUUUCCUGGAGGAACUAAACCUGAGUUACAAUAAGAUCACCAGCUCACAGAUUCAUCGGGAGGCCUUCCGCAAGCUGAGGUUACUGAAAUCCUUGGAUCUUUCUGGCAAUAACCUCCACACCAUGCCUUAUGGUUUCCCAAAGAACUUGCAAAACCUGAAGCUGAAGGUGAAUGAGAUAAGCUCUAUUCCCAAGGGUACAUUAUCUGGGAUGUCAAGAUUGCAGGAGCUGUACCUGAGCUACAACAAACUGAAAGUCAGCUCAAUUUACAGUGGAUCAUGGAGGGACCUCACCAGUCUUAAGACGUUAGACAUGGCUGGUAAUCAACUCACUGCUAUUCCGUCUGAUUUGCCAGAAUCUCUUGAAUACCUGUAUCUCCAAAACAACAAGAUUACUACAGUUCCAGAGGAUGCCUUUGAAUCCACACCCAACAUAAAAGGAAUUUAUCUCAGGUUUAACAAGAUUGCCUUCAGUGCAGUAAAAGAAAGCACAUUCCAAAGAUUGAAGCAUCUGCAAGUCUUGGAUAUUGAAGGAAACUUUGAAUUCAGUGACCCUUUGAAGAAUGGGGAUCGUUCUGAUGAAGAAGUGGAGGAAGAGGAGGAGGAGGAAGAACAGGAGGUGGAAGAAAAACAAAGAUAAACCUUGACUGAACCAAGCUUAUCACAUGGAAAUCAUUCAGCAAAGCGGCAUGUAUCCCUGUGUUCAUAUAUCAAUAUCUAUCUGUAUCUCUUAGAUAUACACAGAACACUUAGCAAAAAGUGCAACAAAUUACAUGCAGGUGGUUGGCACAUGUGACGCUUGACCAGGCCAGUUGAAGACAGUCUGCUAAUAACAAAAUUUUGACUUCUUUGUCUACUGGAUAUGCUACCCUAUCCCUGUCGAGGCCUGGCAGAAAACAUGGAACAAGAGAAAACAAAAUCCUGUUUGGAUUCAACAAUAUAUCAGAAUAUCAAGAAUGAAUCCAACUAUUAUAUACUAAUAUUUUAAUAUAAUAAUAAUGAUACAACUGUAUGGUUGAAAAAAGAACUUGGAAUAAGCAGAACAUUUGAAAUCCAAAAAGUGAAUUUCUGACUGUAGACCAACAGGGAAAACACCUGAUGAAAAUCCAUGCCAGCCAAAGUUGCCAAGAAAUGUUGACAUCACGGUGGCCAUCUGCUUCCUUCUCAAAGAAGGGCUUUUCCAAAUGAACAUGUAUAUUGCACAAUACAUAUGCAGGUGUUACUGAGUUAACAGUGGUAGGAGGUGGGAAUAUAUCUUUCACUAAGGCAAGGUGGAGUUUUUACACAUGUUUUAACCUCCCCUUAAACCGCAAUAUUUUGUUGGGCGUGGUGGAAUUUCUUAUAGCUAGGGUCUCUUGAAAUCUAAAGUGUGGUGAUAAUGGUAGUGAUAUUAUCAGUACACUAUUUUAAUGUUUUUAUUCAAAUGGUUAUUCCCUUUCAACAGUGAGAUGCAUGGUCGUCUGGGCUUGUAA